UACGGGGGGUGCGAGCGUUGUCCGGAAUCACUGGGCGUAAAGGGCGCGUAGGUGGUUUGAUAAGGGUGUGGUGAAAGUCCGGAGCUCAACUCCGGAUCUGCCGUGCCGACUGUCAAACUCGAGGGCUGUAGAGGCAGACGGAAUUCCCGGUGUAGCGGUGAAAUGCGUAGAGAUCGGGAGGAACAUCAGUGGCGAAGGCGGCCAUCUGGGACAACACUGACGCUGAAGCACGAAAGCGUGGGGAGCAAACAGG
rnacentral:rRNA from 1 species